AGUGAACGCUGGCGGCGUGCUUAACACAUGCAAGUCGAACGAGAAACGGAUUUAGCUUGCUAAAUUGCAGUCUAAGUGGCGCACGGGUGAGUAAUGUAUAGGUAAUAUGCCUCUUACUAAGGGAUAACAAUUGGAAACGAUUGCUAAUACCUUAUAUGCCUUUAAUACGAAAGUAUGCAAGGGAAAGAUUUAUUGGUAAGAGAUUAGCCUGUAUGGUAUCAGCUUGUUGGUGAGGUAAUGGCUCACCAAGGCUAUGACGCCUAACUGGUUUGAGAGGAUGAUCAGUCACACUGGAACUGAGACACGGUCCAGACUCCUACGGGAGGCGGCAGUGGGGAAUAUUGCACAAUGGACGAAAGUCCGAUGCAGCAACGCCGCGUGGAGGAUGACACAUUUCGGUGCGUAAACUCCUUUUAUAUAGGAAGAUAAUGACGGUACUAUAUGAAUAAGCACCGGCUAACUCCGUGCCAGCAGCCGCGGUAA
rnacentral:rRNA from 1 species